rnacentral:tRNA from 1 species
GCGAAGGUGGCGGAAUUGGCAGACGCGCUGGCCUUAGGAGCCAGUGCCCGUAAGGGCGUGCGGGUUCGACUCCCGCCCUUCGCA